rnacentral:ncRNA from 1 species
GGUGCAGUAUUGCUCAAAAAGGAAGCCGGUGCGAAUCCGGCGCAGUCCAAACUCUACUGUAUUUGACGACGAACAGAAGUUAUACCAUUGGGCUUUGGUCUGAGAAGGUUUCUGUGAGGUUGAGUCAUAAGUCAGGAUAUUUGCCGCAGGCGU